UGAAGCUCAAUGAGGGACCUUGGGUUAGUCACUGUCUCUCGGCCUAGUCCGUCCCACAGGGUUAUUGUGAUGAUAAAAUGGGGAGGGGAGAACCAUGUACACCACCUUGAGAUCAUUGGGGGGAGGGGGAGAAGCUGGUAUAUAAAUGUGAUAAAGAAAUAGCUCAUACCCUACAUCAAGGGAUGGGGGAACUGUUCCCUAUAUGGUGUUGGACUCCCAUCAGCCCCAGCCAGCAUCACUAAAGGUCAGGGGUGAUAGGAAUUGCAGUCCAGUACCCCUGAGAGGGGCACAGGUUCCCUUUUCCUGCCUUCUAGCCAUAGCCUGGUUCUCAACACCACAUUGUCCUUUCCCCCAGUGUGUUGCCCUACAAUGAUGUUCUUAUGUCGCUUACAGUUUAGGAGACUCAAGGGAUCCGAAGGGGAUACAAGCAAUGCAUCUGCUCUUUAUACUGGCCAAUCGAGAGGAAAGUAGACUACUAUUUAAUGUUGGUCAUGGAACCAUUCAAACUAUGGAGAUGACAACAAUUGAGCAAGACUUUGGAAGGAAGGACAAGGGUUUUAAUUGGGACACAGAGAGAAAAUGCUACCAGUUUGGUUGGUUUUUGCAAGGCCAAGCGGCAAAGUCUCCUUUAUUUGGCAGCCUGGGGGCAGGGACUGUGUUUGUUCUCAUGUUCAGGAUCAGAUUGGCUGCCAUGUUUGUGGUGUGGAAUGGGUUUUGUCAUGUCACCCAUCCCACUCACACCCCUUCAAAUUCAAGAGUGAGGAAGGGUAUUUCACUCCACCGAGUGGAGUGGCUUCUUCUUGAGUAAUUGGAAGUGUUUGCUCUGCAGCUGCCUCUCUGCUCCUAGCCUACUAUUGUGGGGUUGUGCUUGUAUUGGGACUCUGGGCAUAGGAGCCAACUCCCCUUUGCCCCCCCC